UACGUAGGGGGCUAGCGUUGUCCGGAUUUAUUGGGCGUAAAGAGCGUGUAGGCGGCCAGGUAGGUCUGCUGUGAAAACUCGAGGCUUAACCUCGAGAUGUCGGUGGAAACCAUCUGGCUAGAGUCCGGAAGAGGAGAGUGGAAUUCCUGGUGUAGCGGUGAAAUGCGCAGAUAUCAGGAAGAACACCCGUGGCGAAGGCGGUUCUCUGGGACGGUACUGACGCUGAGACGCGAAAGCGUGGGGAGCAAACAGG
rnacentral:rRNA from 1 species